rnacentral:miRNA from 14 species
UGUGCAUGUGUGUGCAUGUAUGUGUGUGUGCAUGUAUGUGUGUGUGCAUGUGUAUGUGUGUGCAUGUGUAUGUGUGUGUGUGCAUGUACAUGUGUGUAUGUGUGCAUGUGCGUG